GAUGAACGCUGGCGGCGUGCCUAAUACAUGCAAGUCGAGCGAAUGGAUUAAGAGCUUGCUCUUAUGAAGUUAGCGGCGGACGGGUGAGUAACACGUGGGUAACCUGCCCAUAAGACUGGGAUAACUCCGGGAAACCGGGGCUAAUACCGGAUAACAUUUUGAACAGCAGGGUUCGAAAUGGAAAGGCGGCUUCGGCUGUCACUUAUGGAUGGACCGGCGUCGCAUUAGCUAGUUGGUGAGGUAACGGCUCACCAAGGCAACGAUGCGUAGCCGACCUUAGAGGGUCAUCGGCCACCCUGGGACUGAGACACGGCCCAGACUCCUACGGGAGGCAGCAGUAGGGAAUCUUCCGCAAUGGACGAAAGUCUGACGGAGCAACGCCGCGUGAGUGAUGAAGGCUUUCGGGUCGUAAAACUCUGUUGUUAGGGAAGAACAAGUGCUAGUUGAAUAAGCUGGCACCUUGACGGUACCUAACCAGAAAGCCACGGCUAACUACGUGCCAGCCGCCGCCGUAA
rnacentral:rRNA from 1 species